rnacentral:lncRNA from 1 species
GAAAACUUCAAAAACCCCCACCUGUGGUUUCACACUUUCUCACUUUAGUACCCUGUGGUUUAAAGUGUAUCAAUUUAGUGCUCUGUGAUUUCAUUUUUCUCUUUUUAUUAUCAAUUUCAUUAUUUUUUUUCUUUAAAUCAAUGACAAAGUUAAAAUUAAAGGAUAUUAAAGUAAAUAUUUAAUAAAUCUAGGUGGGUAUCUGAAGUUUUUUUAUAUAUAAUUUAACGAAAUAUUAACGAAAAAGCUGCCAAAAAGAUAAAAAUGAAACCACAAGGCAUCAAAUUGAUACACUUUAAAUCACAGGGUACUAAAGUGAUGAGAAAAUGCGAAACCACAUGAGGAAUUUUUGAAGUUUUCCCCUUAGAUUGGUUU